rnacentral:lncRNA from 1 species
AACGAUUUAAAAAAAAAAAAAAGAGGCCCUCCCCGCCCCGCCAAGAAAUCUCUGAAAACAAGAAUUCUUCUGAUGUCGCCCCCCCCAACCCCCGCCCCUGCAGUUCUCCAUGUUACAGUCCUUGGAGGUGGACUAGGCAUAAAAUACUUUCACUAAUAAAAUAUGACAAACCGCCGGAUUAUACGUGGCCGAUUCCCAGUGAUUGCCCUGCUACACAAAGCAGAAAAGUAAAUGCCAUCAUCCCCCUUAGAACAAAAGAACUUAGGAAUAAAAAACAUGGAGAGGGGGGCAGAAAGCAGCAAUAAAUAAAGGUGAGCGAAGGACCCCGUCCCCCGCCCCUCCCCGGAGCUAGAGUGGGACUCGGUACGGCUAAUAAAGUGGUUCAAGGGUAGUUAUUUGCAAAGGGGGCGGGGUGGCCGGGGAUUGCAUGUUGCAUUCGACUUGAGCUUGCAUCUUCUCCUGUUGCCUGGACCACUCGCUCCCCCAUUGCAGUGCUUCCUCCUCGCUCCUGCCUUCUUUCCACCCCCACCCCUGCAAACUGCUGUUGCACUGGAGGGAGUUGGGGUUGCUCGGGAGCCCCCCAGUAGCUCCCGACAGCGGGAGGGGACCGGGGCUCGGGCCUGGCCGGGGCUGCGGCGCGGCGGCGGGCCGGGAGUUUGGCGGCCG